AUUGAACGCUGGCGGCAGGCCUAACACAUGCAAGUCGAACGGUAACAGGAAGCAGCUUGCUGCUUCGCUGACGAGUGGCGGACGGGUGAGUAAUGUCUGGGAAACUGCCUGAUGGAGGGGGAUAACUACUGGAAACGGUAGCUAAUACCGCAUAACGUCGCAAGACCAAAGAGGGGGACCUUAGGGCCUCUUGCCAUCGGAUGUGCCCAGAUGGGAUUAGCUAGUAGGUGGGGUAACGGCUCACCUAGGCGACGAUCCCUAGCUGGUCUGAGAGGAUGACCAGCCACACUGGAACUGAGACACGGUCCAGACUCCUACGGGAGGCAGCAGUGGGGAAUAUUGCACAAAGGGCGCAAGCCUGAUGCAGCCAUGCCGCGUGUAUGAAGAAGGCCUUCGGGUUGUAAAGUACUUUCAGCGGGGAGGAAGGGAGUAAAGUUAAUACCUUUGCUCAUCGACGUUACCCGCAGAAGAAGCACCGGCUAACUCCGUG
rnacentral:rRNA from 1 species